AUGUUGCCUUGUUACAAGAUACAAAGCCAAAGCGUCAUACGGCCUUUUGCUACACCAUCAAAGCUUUGAGAAGCAAGAAGAAGCUUGGUUAGUGUUUUGAAGUCAAAUAUUACUAGAUGUCAUCUGUAUGAGUGAGUAUAACAACUAGAAUCGCAACCGGAUCUUAAAAGCCUAAGUAUUGUAUCCAUGUUAGAAGAUAUAAAGACAAAUACUCAUACAGAUCUUACAAGCCUAAGUAGUGUUUCCUUGUUAGAAGAUACAAAGCCAAAGACUCAUACGGAUUUUAGCUACACCAUCAAAGCUUUGAGAAGCAAGAAGAAGCUUGGUUAGUGUUUUGGAAUCAAAUAUGACUUGAUGUCAUAUGUAUGAGUGAGUAUAACAACUAGAAUCGCAACCGGAUCUUAAAAGCCUAAGUAUUGUAUCCUUGUUAGAAGAUAUAAAGACAAAUACUCAUACAGAGCUUACAAGCCUAAGUACUGUUUCCUUGUUAGAAGAUACAAAACCGAAGACUCAUACGGAGUUUAGCUACACCAUCAAAGCUUUGAGAACCAAGAAGAAGAUUGGUUAGUGUUUUGGAGUGAAAUAUGACUAGAUGUCACGUGUAUGAUUGAGUAUAAGAACUUAAACCGCAACCGAAUCUUAAAAGCCUAAGUAAUGUUUCCUUGUUAGAAGAUACAAAGCCAAAACCUCAUACAGACUUUAGCUACACCAUCAAAGCUUUGAGAAGCAAGAAGAAGCUUGGUUAGGGUUUUGGAGUCAAAUAUAACUAGAUGUCAUAUGUAUGAGUGAGUAUGAGAACUAGAACCGCAAUCGAAUCUUAAAAGCCUAAGUAUUGAAUCUUUGUUAGAAGAUACAAAGACAAGGACUCAUACGGACUUCGACUACACCAUCAAAGCUUUGAAA
rnacentral:sRNA from 1 species